GCUAAAUGGAACUAAGUGCCUGUAGUCUCAGCUACUCAGGAGGCUGAGGCUGCCGGAUCACUUGAGCCCAGGAGUUCUGGGCUGCAGUGGGCUAUGCCGAGCGGGCGUCCACGCUAAGGCCACCAUCAAUAUGGUGAGUCCCGGGGAGCCAGGGGAUACCGGGUUGAAUAAGGAGGGGUGAACCGGCCCAGGUCAGAGAUGGAGCAGGUCAGAGCUCCCGUGGCAGUCAGUAGCAGGAUCACACCUGUGCGUAGCCACUGCAGCGUAGCCUGGGCAACACAGAGAGACGCGGGCUCCU
rnacentral:SRP_RNA from 1 species